ACCUUGGCUCUAGACUGCUUACUGCUAAUGUUUUGGAAAGUACAGUAACAGUCUACAGUCAUGGCUAC
rnacentral:pre_miRNA from 1 species